ensembl:Mt_tRNA
AAGAAAGUCGUAGAGGUUACGGAGUUGGCUUGAAACUAAUUUUUUGGGGGUUCGAUUCCUUCCUUUCUUG